rnacentral:lncRNA from 1 species
AUCUCAUCACAGUUUCAUAUGCUGCUGUAAAUCUAGAAGAAGCUUCUUCACAGCCAUAUGCGCUUGAUUCUGCGUUAUGCUUUGUGAUCUGUCCCUAAAUGCUCGUAAAGUUUUUUAGAUUCAGUAUAACAUAAAUUUCUUUUUUUAUUGUAAAUAAUUUAAUUUUUAAACUUUUUUAAUAAAAUACUAAUUUUUUUUAAAUUGACCUUAGUCAACAGUAAAUGGACGAAUUUAAUUUAAAUUAAACAGAUUAAAUUAUUAAAAAAUAUUCAAAUUAUAAUGAUAAAUUAUUAAAAUAAAAGGAAUUAAAUUAUUAUAAAAAUUAAAAUUUAAAAUUUAAAAUUCUAUAAUCUAAGAAUAAAUUUUAAAAGAAAGAAUUAUUUUAUUAAUGUUAAUUAAAUUUUAAGAAUUAAAUUAUUUUUUUAAAUCAUAAGAAUUAAAUUAUGAGUUUUAUUAAAUUUUAUUAUAGAAAAAUUCAUUAGUUAAUUUUUAUAUUAUAGAAAAAUUUAUUAGUUAAUUUUUUUAUUUUAAAAAAUAUAUUAAAAUAUUUUUAAUAUUUUAAAAAUUUUACUAAUUAAUCUCCCUAUUAAUUUUAAUAGUUAAAUAAAAUACUCUUAAUAUGAAAAGAUUAACUAACAAAAUUUUUAUAAAAUUAAAAAAUUAAUUAAAUUUUUUUUUAAAAUACUUAACAAUUAAAACUAAUUAAAUGAUUAAUUAAUAAAUUUUUUAAUAUUUUAAUUUAUUUUUCAAAAUUAAUUUACUAUCUAAUAGAGUUUUUUUAUGAUAUAUAACUAAAUAAUAAUUUUUAUAAAAAAAAAAAAAACUCUCAAAAAGUGAAAAAAAGAGUUAAAAGAUAUUCUAAAGUAAAGGCCUCUCAUCUAAUCAAUUGUGUGGAGUAGCAUAGCCGGGAAAUCUUUUUGAGGGCAAUAUUUUUUAUACUAAAAUUAUUAAAUAAUGUGUAUAUUUAGAAAAUAUAUAAUAACGUGAAAUUUAGCUAAAAUUUUUUUAAGGGGCUCAUAGUAUAAAAAUUAAUUAAAUAUAUAAUAAAAUAAAUAAUUAUAAUAUUUCAUAAUAUACUAGACAUAUUCUAAUAAUAAAUAUAUUCGAGUAAAUUUAAAAGAUUUCAUAUUUUACUCUUCCACACAAUUGAUGCUGUUGUUUGCUAUUGGAUUUUUGAAGGAGGGGUGGAAUAGGCACCGAAGUGCUAGUUUACCUUAAAACGGUACCUCCAUGGCUAUGCGAGAAUAAAACUGUUAUGGGCCAUUUUCUUCUUCUGGUGGCUUUCAUCGAUACUCCUGUGAGUUUGUGAAUUCCAUCUUUAGUGUUUUUGGAAGCGCUGUUUGAGAAAUUGGUUAUGUAUGCUUGAUUGUUGCUGCUUGGACUUCUCCUUUGUUUCAGGCAUGCUUUGUCGGUGCUGGAGGCGAUAGUGAAUCUGUGUUUAUCUUCUGAAAUCUUCUUAGGUGGGCUAGGCUCCUGUUCUUGAUUGAGCUUUAUACUUUGACUUUGGGCUGAGGUAGGCUUUCUUUUAUAAUC